CCUACGGGAGGCAGCAGUAGGGAAUUUUGCGCAAUGGGGGAAACCCUGACGCAGCAACGCCGCGUGAUCGAUGAAGCCCUUCGGGGUGUAAAGAUCUGUCAGUGGGGACGAAACCUGACGGUACCCACAGAGGAAGCACCGGCUAACUCCGUGCCAGCAGCCGCGGUACUACGGGGGGUGCAAGCGUUGUCCGGAAGCAUUGGGCGUAAAGAGUUCGGAGGUGGCUCGUUAAGUCUGGUGUUAAAGGGGGAAGCUCAACUUCCGUAGGGCAGUGGAUACUGGCGAGCUUGAGUGCGGUAGAGGUAAAGGGAAUGCCUGGUGUAGCGGUGAAAUGCGUAGAUAUCAGGAGGAACAUCGGUGGCGAAGGCGCUUUACUGGGCCGUAAUUGACACUGAGGAACGAAAGCCGGGGGAGCAAAUGGGAUUAGAUACCCUUGUAGUC
rnacentral:rRNA from 1 species